GGGCCAGUCCAUAGCAUCAAUGCCUUCCUCUUGCAGGAACUGCUGACACACUCCAGCCACAUGAGGUCUAGCAUUGUCUUGCAUUAGGAGGAACCCAGGGCCAACCGCACCAGCAUAUGGUCUCACAAGGGGUCUGAGGAUCUAAUCUCGGUACCUAAUGGCAGUCAGGCUACCUCUGGCGAGCACAUGGAGGCCCCCCAAAGAAAUGCCACCCCACACCAUGACUGACCCACCGCCAAACCGGUCAUGCUGGAGGAUGUUGCAGGCAGCAGAACGUUCUCCACGGCGUCUCCAGACACUGUCACGUCUGUCACAUGUGCUCAGUGUGAACCUGCUUUCAUCUGUGAAGAGCACAGGGCGCCAGUGGCGAAUUUGCCAAUCUUAGUGUUCUCUGGCAAAUGCCAAACGUCCUGCAUGGUGUUGGGCUGUCAGCACAACCCCCACCUGUGGACGUCGGGCCCUCAUACCACCCUCACGGAGUCUGUUUCUGACCGUUUGAGCAGACACAUGCACAUUUGUGGCCUGCUGGAGGUCAUUUUGCAGGGCUCUGGCAGUGCUCCUCCUGCUCCUCCUUGCACAAAGGCGGAGGUAGGAGUCCUGCUGCUGGGUUGUUGCCCUCCUACGGCCUCCUGCACGUCUCCUGAUGUACUGGCCUGUCUCCUGGUUGCGCCUCCAUGCUCUGGACACUACGCUGACAGACACAGCAAACCUUCUUGCCACAGCUCGCAUUGAUGUGCCAUUCUGGAUGAGCUGUACUACCUGAGUCACUUGUGUGGGUUGUAGACUCCGUCUCAUGCUACCACUAGAGUGAAAGCACCGCCAGCAUUCAAAAAUGACCAAAAUGUCAGCCAGGAAGCAUAGGAACUGAGAAGUGGUCUGUGGUCACCACCUGCAGAACCACUCCUUUAUUGGGGGUGUCUUGCUAAUUGCCUAUAAUUUCCACCUGUUGUCUAUUCCAUUUGCACAACAGCAUGUGAAAUUUAUUGUCAAUCAGUGUUGCUUCCUAAGUGGACAGUUUGAUUUCACAGAAGUGUGAUUGACUUGGAGUUACAUUGUGUUGUUUAAGUGUUCCCUUUAAUUUUUUGAGCAGUGUAUAUAUAUAGUGAUCCCCAAACUUUGUCACUUAAAUAGAUUUGAAAUAAAAGUGAAUACAUGAAGUUUGAGGUUUUUUAAUAAGCAUGUAUGAAAGUCCCAUUGAUAAACAGCAAAUCAUUUUGGUUGCUGUGAUGGAUUCCGCAGUGGUACUCAAGUCAAUGAUGGCAUAAUGGGUGGACUGGCAGCCAUUGUGAGUGUACCCAUAGGAGCCAUGCAGGAAGUAAAUCAAUAUGUUCUGUGAUUUGUUGAUUUAACUUAACUGACAUUAGAAAAAAUACAUUCCAUUGCAUGAGCCACAUCAGUGAAAAUCAUUUGAAUGAACAUUCUACAUUACCAUGGAAAAUAUUGCAUCACAAUACCAGGCAGCCGUUGCGAGUGUACCAAUGUCAAAUUGCCUGGGUUAGAGGUUCCAAGCCCAUUCUAUUUCUAUGGUCAUACUAUUGUUAACAUUAUUGGCCGGGUCUUAGAGAGAUGUCCUCUCCUUAUGCAUUUUAGGGUGGGUGUGAAUGUUUAAUAGGAGUGACUGAAUGAAAGGGAAUGUGUCAUUGUUGGACAGUGGUGUAACUGUUUUAAGUGUUGACUGAAAGUGGGGUGGCCGUGUUUAAAAGCACAGUGUAUAGGGGACAUCCUUCCCAUAGGCUGUAUUUGCUAGGUCAUACCUUGAAUAAUCUGCUGGAGUUUCCCCCACUGUCAACUACAAUUAUGGUCUUUUGACUUUUUAUCCCCUAGUCCCAGUAAUAUUUCCUUUCUUUAUAUUUUUCUUCAAUUUCUUUAAUACUAAUUUUCUCAUGAUGAAAGUAGCUAUUAGUAAUGUCCUUUUAAAUUAAAAGAAAAAAAAAUGGCCCCACUUUGAUAACACAGUGUUUUAGUAUGUG
rnacentral:lncRNA from 1 species